UACGUAGGGUGCAAGCGUUGUCCGGAAUUACUGGGCGUAAAGGGCGCGUAGGCGGCCAGCACAAGUCAGUUGUGAAAUCUCCGAGCUUAACUCGGAAAGGUCAACUGAUACUGUGCGGCUAGAGUGCAGAAGGGGCAACUGGAAUUCUUGGUGUAGCGGUGAAAUGCGUAGAUAUCAAGAGGAACACCUGCGGCGAAGGCGGGUUGCUGGGCUGACACUGACGCUGAAGCGCGAAAGCUAGGGGAGCGAACGGG
rnacentral:rRNA from 1 species